CGGGUUGUAGCGCAGCUUGGUAGCGCACCACACUGGGGGUGUGGGGGUCGCAGGUUCAAAUCCUGUCAACCCGACCA
rnacentral:tRNA from 1 species